AGCUCCAAUAGCGUAUAUUAAAGUUGUUGCGGUUGAAAAGCUCGUAGUUGGAUUUCUGUUGAGAACAACCGGUCUGCCCUCUGGGUGAGUAUCUGGCUUGGCCUGAGCAUCCUCUUGGAGAACGUAGCUGUGCUUGAUUGUGUGGUGUGGUAUCCAAGGCCUUCACUUUGAGGAAAUUAGAGUGCUUCAAGCAGGCUGUUGCCUUGAAUACACUAGCAUGGAAUGAUAGGAUAGGACCUUGGCUCUAUUUUGUUGGUUUCUAGAUCUGGGGUGGUGAUUAACAGGAAUAGUUGGGGGCAUUUGUAUUUAACUGUCAGAGGUGAAAUUCUUGGAUUUGUUAAAGGCGGACUACUGCAAAAGCAUUUGCCAAGGAUGUUUUCA
rnacentral:rRNA from 1 species